GAUGCUAUGGGCUAAAGUCUCUGCCAAACUACUUGAAGAAUUCUGGGAUUGAGCUCAAAGAACGUUACCAAAAAGGGUCCAGAGAGUAUUGGCACUUCCCAAACAUCAUAUUGAUUGGAAGUAAUGGCACGUCUUCACAUUGAUUCAAACAGUCUUUCAGAGACUGUUGAUAAUCAACACUAUGAAUUUGGACCACAAAUCAAUGACAAAGAUGAUGUUGGGGCUGGCUCGGCUGAGUGUGUGGUGGAUGAACGAGUGGAAGUAGACAAUGAUGAGGGCCUGGAGAUCUGUGAAGUAGACAGAUAAUAAGAGCAAGGUAUUGAAGUGGACAAGAUUUUUGAAGACCACAAAGGAGGAGCUGGUGGAUGACAAAAAUUGAGGACCUGGUUUUUUUGAGUAAUCAUUGUGAGAGAGGAGGAAUUUAAAAGCCUCUUUUGUGGAUGUUUGAGGGUGGUUUUGGCCCUCUCUCUUUUGCUUCAUUUGUCCACUCUUGCCUCUGAAUCAAAACAAAUAAACCCUCCCUCCAACCAUCUCCCUUGCAACACUCUUCAGCUCUGGAGGCUUUUAGCUAUAUGAUGACAUGUGAAAUUACAAUACCUGUUGGUGUAUCUGGUGCACUUUUUGUACUAUUGGGAGCCAUGGUUUCUAAGCUUUUCACUAAUUGGACAAUCUAUGCAAAUGAGGGAAGGUUUUGAUGGAGUAUGGGAGUGGGAUUUGCCCAUUACAAACUAGCCUUGUAUUGAGCAGCAAGCAAACUGUUUGAACCUAGUCUAAACAGGUUAAGGAAAGAUGUGUUGGCCAAGGAUGAAUCAGAAAGUCAAAAACCUCUUUGGCUAUUAAUGGUACUAUAAAGUUUGUUCUAUGGUAUUUAAAUCUUUCAGUUGUAACUUUUUCCAUAGUUCUCUUUGGCCUUGUAUACUUAUAAAUUACUCCACAAUUUUCUUUGGCCUUGUAUACUUAUAAGUUAUAUUGAACAAAUGUCAGGAAUCCUUACUUGACCAUCAUUCGUCAGUCCAGGGUGCUACAUGGGGCACAACCAUCUGGCAGCUAAGAACCUAGUCAAUUAGAAUUCUCAUUAAUGGAUUUAUAGCAUUGUAUGCUAAUUUUGAUUAGGACUUGUGCUUGAAGGAGCUAGUGGAGAAUUUGGAAAUAAGCUACCAUAGGAUGUAAGUCUAUAUAUCUUAAAAAUCAAGGUAUGGAUGUUAGGGUGUAUUCUCUUGCUUUGUUGCUAAAUGUGUUGUUUGUCAUGCCUAGCAAUUGUGAGCAGAUCACCUUUGAAAGUUAGUAUAGGAAGAAUUUGAAGAGGAGCAUUUGUGUAGUAACUAAUACAACUUUAAGGCUUGGCUUUGUAGUUGGCAAUAUGCAUACUUGUAAGUACUUCAAUGACUGGUUAUCAGGUUUAUCAUUAUAGGAAUAGGUUGAGGUUUCAAAUGUAACAGAAA